rnacentral:miRNA from 1 species
CAGGCAGCAGAACCCAGCGGGCAUGAGAUCCUUCCUUGCUGACCAUGGCCCUUCUGUAUCUUCUGCAG